rnacentral:snRNA from 1 species
CGCCGAUCGAUUCGGGGC